rnacentral:ribozyme from 1 species
UUUGUUUUUUUUUUUUCUCUUUUUUUGUGGGCAAAAAAGAAAAAAAAAAAAA